AGAGUUUGAUCCUGGCUCAGGACGAACGCUGGCGGCGCGCCUAACACAUGCAAGUCGAACGAGCGAGAGAGAGCUUGCUUUCUCGAGCGAGUGGCGAACGGGUGAGUAACGCGUGAGGAACCUGCCUCAAAGAGGGGGACAACAGUUGGAAACGACUGCUAAUACCGCAUAAGCCCACGGCUCGGCAUCGAGCAGAGGGAAAAGGAGCAAUCCGCUUUGAGAUGGCCUCGCGUCCGAUUAGCUAGUUGGUGAGGUAACGGCCCACCAAGGCGACGAUCGGUAGCCGGACUGAGAGGUUGAACGGCCACAUUGGGACUGAGACACGGCCCAGACUCCUACGGGAGGCAGCAGUGGGGAAUAUUGCACAAUGGGGGAAACCCUGAUGCAGCGACGCCGCGUGGAGGAAGAAGGUCUUCGGAUUGUAAACUCCUGUUGUUGAGGAAGAUAAUGACGGUACUCAACAAGGAAGUGACGGCUAACUACGUGCCAGCAGCCGCGGUAAAACGUAGGUCACAAGCGUUGUCCGGAAUUACUGGGUGUAAAGGGAGCGCAGGCGGGAAGACAAGUUGGAAGUGAAAUCUAUGGGCUCAACCCAUAAACUGCUUUCAAAACUGUUUUUCUUGAGUAGUGCAGAGGUAGGCGGAAUUCCCGGUGUAGCGGUGGAAUGCGUAGAUAUCGGGAGGAACACCAGUGGCGAAGGCGGUCUACUGGGCACCAACUGACGCUGAGGCUCGAAAGCAUGGGUAGCAAACAGGAUUAGAUACCCUGGUAGUCCAUGCCGUAAACGAUGAUUACUAGGUGUUGGAGGAUUGACCCCUUCAGUGCCGCAGUUAACACAAUAAGUAAUCCACCUGGGGAGUACGACCGCAAGGUUGAAACUCAAAGGAAUUGACGGGGGCCCGCACAA
rnacentral:rRNA from 1 species